UAUCCGCGUGACAAACCCACAUGGCUACUCAGUUGGCCCACUACUAAAUCCCCUUUUUUUAUGGGAAGAUGUUGUGGCUAUUUAUUAAACUUUUAUGGCACAAUCCAGAGCACUCACAAUACAAACAGGUGGUACAUUAAGCCAAGUUUUGCAUAAUCGUAAGCCACAGCCAUCUCUAGCUAACUUGUGAGCAACUUCAUUAGCAGUACGUCUAGUUCACUAACUUUGAAUGCCUCAAAAGUUCUUAGCUUACCCUUGAUCUCCUCAAUCAAGUGUCCAUGCAACGACCUAUCCCUUACAUUUGAGUGCAACGACCUAUCUAAGUAGGAUCCUCGGUUUCAGCAUUUCCAUUGUAAUCUCCACUGCACGCCUGCAAGCCAUCAGUUCAGCACACUCGGGAUCUAGGAUAUGGGGGCUUCCUGGCUGGAGCACUACCGAAUCCAUGUAGGCAAUGCGAGCUACUAUCUCACGUAAAGCGAGACAUAGCUACGCCCGCUCUUGUGUGCAUCAUGUUGGGUCCGCAGAGAAGCCGCUAAGACGCUCACAUGUGCGGGGCCCAGUACCGCACCACUGCUCCUCUGCACUUCAGCAAAACAACAAGAAAAAAAAUUAUUGACUUCGUUAGGAAAUGCGGCUAGAAAGAUUUUAAUAUAUUAUUAAUUUUUUUGUUGUGGUAGAGAUCUCUAUAUUGAAAAAGCAUGACUACUAAAUUAUAUUCAUGAAUUUUAACAAAUAUUCAAUAUUUUAUAAAACAUUCAUGUUUUAGAAAAUAUUCAUGAAUUAAACAAGUUCAUGUAUUAGAAAAGGUGAAGGAAAAAACUAGAAAGAAAUAAGGCAAACCGAAAAAAUAGAGAACAAAAAAAUCCAAAAGAAGACCUUGUUAGUUUUCUCAAGCUUGGGUUGCUUGCCUCGGAAUCUAGAAGAAAAUUGGUGGAGGAAAAAUAUAAAUAAAAACCGCAAUAAAAAGGUUGCGGCCACCUGGUGAUAAAGAUUGAAGGCUUAAGCCAUGCACAUAUUUAUUAGACAGAAACUUACUCACAUAAGCCAAGGUGCCUUUGUUGCCGACGUUGUCAACGCUUCGAAUGGUUGCAGAUCGCCGUCGUAUUGUUUAUGCACGUCCUUGAUCUUGUCGAGGCUCCUCGUUCUCUCGGGGAUCUCAAGAACUAGCGCUUUCACGGACAUCACUUCUUCUGUUACCGCAUCGUGAAUUUGGGCUUGAAGAGGUAGUCUGGUAGAUCGAGCGUGGGAAGUAGGCUCUGAUACUACUUGUUAACAAUUUGAGCUUAUGUUCCUCUCAGUUGACCUCAACACACAUUGAUUUCAUAGAAGCCACUAGAGUUUGAGACUUGUUGGUGGAGAAGAACAGUAGAAAGGGGGAGGAUGGCCAUCGCAACACAGUUUGUUAUCAAUCGAUGCCUUCCUCAAUGCGCUAGAUAUAUUAAUAGUUGGUUUAUAUUGCUUGGUGCAACCUCACCACCUUAUCCACAUCCAACCCAUAAGCAUUGUUAGUUUUUGUACCCUCGGUAAUGUACUUGCUGAGUCCAAACGACUCACAGAUACAUCAACAACCCCAAGUGCAGAUGCAGGUGUAGGUUCAGGUAAUUGAGGACAAAUGAUCAAAGUGUUGGACGGGUCCAAAAAGUGUAAUUGAGAACAAUGUAAUUGAGUGACGCUCUCUCUCCCCCUCUUACAUUCGGCCUCCACUUGUUAGCCUACAAAGGAAUACCAUGCCACAUCGGCAGAUAACGUCUUAGACAGUGAGUACUCCAAAUUGAAUGCAUUAGCCAAUUUUUUGCAUCAGUUUUUGGUAUUGGACAACUAGGGACUAAAGUGAAUAUACACGGCAAGUUCAAGCACUGUAUAUAAAUUUACCUCUAGUAUCUCAUAGUAUACGGAAACACACUUCCGUUUCUAAAGAUUGGGCGGACGCAUGACAACUUCAGGCGAUGCUGACUAGACCUAACUAGACUAGACGUGACUUGAUCUCACAGGCAUGGCUCUAACCGAACUGGCCAGACCGAGACAACCGCGAAGGAAGGGCUCAUCCCAUGGUGACAUUUGAACACUUCUUUUAACUUUGAACAUGUAUCCAACGCGAAUGAUCACCGAUGUGUACAAUACUAUGAGUCCGCGAGGAGUGCUCACCUAUAGACUGAGAGCGCUGCGGCGUGAGGAAGGAUGGACGAGGUGAUGCGGAGGUUGGGACCGUGGGUGCUCGGCGACAACAUCAGUUUCUGUCUCUGCCCGUGUCGACGCCUUUACCACCGUGUUGUUCUUAAUCUUGAGGGAGACCUGACGACACACCUCGGCGGGGGUCAGCUUCUCCGCCUCCGGACCUGCACUAGAUACAACGGCUAUUUCUUGAGUUGUUGCUUCUUCUUCUUCGGUUGCUUCUUACCAACGUUGGUGUGAGUCUCCUCCACGGAUCUGGUCACUGUCAUGGAAACCAUCUUAGCAACAAUAGUAUUACACAACAACAACAAUGGCAUGACGAGAACUAGAUCCACUGAGCAGCCUCACACCGACAUGUCAUUGUCUAUGUGGGUUACUAGCAACUAAACAAUAUAUUUCUAUGUAUCUAGCAUGCAUGUCCAGUAGAUGGUUACGAAGAUCAUAUAUGUAUGUGUAUAUGUAUCUAUUUAUCCCGAGCAGACAAAAACAAGGACAAUGAAAACUAUUAAUGGCAUUGUUUAGUGUGAUGCAUUGACGCUUAAUGUGAUGGAUGGAUGUCAGGCAUGAAAAAGAAAAGCAUGCUUAAUGUGUUGGAUGAGUCCAAAAAAGUGUAACUGAGGCAUAGAACUACAUGUGACAAGAACUAGUAGAAAACUACAACAAUACACACAACAAUGAUCAUUACGAAUGGUAUAGUGAGGAGGAGGGCUUGCGUACCAGUGGAGCGAGAGCGUGGCCACCCUAAGGCUGGGACCACCGGUGCCCGAUGGUGACAUCAGAUUUGCCGCCUCUGCCCUCACCACCUUAUGGUUCAUGUACCUUGGUGAGGGCCAGCUUCGGUAUGGGAGAGGGAGUGUGCGCGGGCGUCUCGCGGUGGUUGUAAGAGUGCUUUCUAUGACCUCGUUGGAGCAGCACUGGUGCGUCCAGCCCCGUGAUACCAUUGGUGCUGCAAUUGCCAACGUUGGAUCCCUGGAAAGUGUGCGCGGCAACGUUGUAGAGCAAGUGACUCACGUGCGCAGAGGGUGAGCACAACUGGCCAGCGGGGGAGGAGUGCGACCCAAUGGCUUGAGCUUCUCGAGCAAGGUGCGGGCGAUGCCGUCGGCAUGAGGCAUAGGCGGAGAGUGUGAGGGAGUGUGUGUUGACUCGCGUGCGUGAUCAAAGUGAAAUGGCAGCCAAGGAGUCAAGGAGGAGGGUGCUACAUGAAACAUUGGUCUGAUGAAAGGCUCAUCUCGGUCGAGGCACUCACGAUUGCUGCUCGGGAUGUCACGUCUCCCAACCACUCCAUAUUGAGCGUGGCGUCAAUGGACAUGAACCACAUGAUGAGGUGGCCAAAAUCCCCCUCUCGCCCGAUUUUGCUCUCGGCUUUCUUACUUCUUCCCAUGCCGUGUUAUAUGUGAUCAAGUCAGAAAUUAUUUUUUUGUUUUCUUUCUUUCGGUGUGCAUGUUUAUUUUGGUACGAGACGAACGAUUGGAGCAGGGCCUAUCUGGUACCUGACAGCGUCGUCUGAUCUAUUCUUGUUGUUGGAUUUUGCCAAUCUUUGCCAGUUUGGUUGCCCGCACCAAAUUGGCAAAAUUCAGCAAAGAGGUCAGUUACUCUGUCAGGAACCUAAUAGGCCCUGCUCCAAUCGGCCAACUUGCUGCAAAAAAUGAACGCACAUCAAAGGAAAGGAAACAAAAAGGUAAAUCUGGACUAAUCUCAGAAAACACUACACAGGAAGAACUAAGAACACUGAGAGCAAAACCACGCUAGAGAGGGAUUUUGGCUACCUCGUCAUGUGAUUCAUGUCCAUUGCCGCGAGGCUCGGUAUGGAGUGGCUUGGUGACACGAUAUCACGAACAACAACCGUAAGUGCCUCGACCGAGGAGGAGCCUUGCGUCGGAUCAUCAUCUCUCAUCUAGUAGCCUCCUCUUUGUCUUCUUCGCUGAUGUUUCACUCUAAUCGCAGGUAAGCCAACACAUGCUCCCCUCCCACUCUCCAUCUAGGCCUCGCGCUACCGGCAUCACCCGCACCUCGCUUGAGCAGCACAAGUUGUUGGGUCCGCCCCACACCUGCCAGUGGUGGUGUGCUCACCCUCUGCCUCGUGAGCCACCAUCUCUACAACGUUGCCAUGCACACCUUCCAGGCACCAACGUCGGCAGUUGCGGCGGCAACAACAUCGCAGGCUAGACGCACGCGUACUACUCCAAUGGGUCCAUAGGAAGUGUUGGCGCGGCCACCGCGAGCCGUCCGUGCACACUCCCGCACCCGAAGCAGAGCUAACCCCUCGCCGAGGUGUGCCACCGGUCAUCCCUCAAGUACUAGAACCACAAGGUGGGGAGGGCGGAGGCAGUGAAGCUGAUGCCACCAUGCGGCGCCGGUGCUCCCAGCCUCAGCGCGGUCAUGCUCUCCUCCACAAGUAAUGUAGGCCCUUCCUCCUCGCUAUACCAUCCAUACUCAUCAUUACUACUAUAGACACGACCCACUAGAAAUAUGUGGGCGUGCGCACGAAAAAAGAAAAGGACAAAAACAAGUAUGCAUGUUUUAGGGAAAAAAUAAGUACUACAUUGACAUCUCUAGUGAUAAGGUGCUCGAAUAUGGAAGUGCCUAAGAGCAAACGUGAACCAUUAUUCUUGAUUAAAGCCUGAGUCACUGCAAGAAAGUAAUGUUUAUGAUUGAAACCUUCUUUUAGAGUAUGUCCGUGGUUCUAAACGCUUGAUAUUAUGUGACACUAACACUGUUUACAUAUAAAGGGAAAACACAUUUCACUUCCAUAAAAAUAAUGGUGUGCAUUUGGGGUAUCUCAUGUGCUCCGGCGAAAGGUAGUGAUGUGAAUGCAAGCUUGGCUUUAUAAGCUAGAGAAGAACCAUACUUUUCGUUAUGAAUAUGUCAAACAAGUAUGGUAUGAUACUACAUGUAAGGGUUAAUUUCGUGACUUAGUGGAGAAUAAGACACAAGCACAACAACCUCUCAAUUGAUUAGAUCCAUAUAAAUAUCUACCAAAAAAUAUUUGUAAGCAAAGGCACAAUAGUACAAGAAAAGUUAGCCGGCUUUAGGAGAUACCAACAAUCACACCUCUCAUUUUGCCAAACAAAAUAGUUUGUCAUUUUGCUAAGAGAAUUUGAUGGCUUCAUAAUGCACCGAAUAGAUAAGUGUGUUUGUGUGUGUGCGUGUGCAUGUGCGUAAUGCAUUAGAGCUUUUUUCCAUGAGAAUUUAAUGGUUUAUUGCACUGCUAGGGUGAAACAUUCAUUACUAAUACAGUCUGGUAGAACAAUUUUAUCUUUUCCAAAGUGUCCAAGCUAGCCUAGUAAAAUGGUGUUUCUUUUUUCUAGUUAAAGUCUCACUUGGAUAGCCAAGGUUUCGUUGUAUCAGAUCAAAAAACUAACAUGUAAGAUUAUGUGAGAUAACUAAACAUGAUAAACUUCACUUUACGCAUUUAUUUUUGUUAGAGAUUAUAAAAGUGUAACUCAACUAAAAAGUAAUUGAAUAAAUAAAGAAAGGAAAAUGGUGAUAAAUAAGAUAAAGCGAACAUAUCUGAGGUUCCAUUUCUUUUGAUGUUAGCCACACUAUAUCUUGUUCUUCAACAGGUGUGAUCACCUAAAACAAAAAAACAUGCCAUUGCUUUUCUCCAAUGCCUCUCUCUCUGAGGGCAAAGAUGUUUCAGUUUCUUUCAAUGUGUCUAGACAAAUAACAAAAAUAUUUUUUAGAUAAAAAUUAGGAUCUAAAAAAGAACAAGAGAACAUACAAACUUUAGCCUCAAUCGUACACGAAGACAAUAUGCAAUGAUUUAUAAGGAUGAAUAAGACUGUUAUAAAAUAUAUGAAUCGUACGACAAUAACUAUUUUGGUUGGAUCGUGAAAAAAUCUUCUACAAAGAUGAGAGAAAAUCAUUUGUCAACAUUAUUUGUAGAUAGUGGAAGAAGUUUGAGUCAAAUAUGGUAGACCAAAUAGAGAAAUUGUGACAACUACUCUUGAUAGAUCGUGAACAAACAGUUUGAUAAAAUAAGACAAGAUAAACAUGGGUUGUAUGUAAAUCUUGUAUAAGAGCUUGAUUAAAUCUAGGUGGAUUUUAAAGUGGGCUUUAAAUAAAGUUGCAAUGGAUCAUUCUAAGAGACCUUGACAAAUUGAAUGGAACAUGUAGAGCUUGACUAAAUCUAGGUGGAUUUUAAAGUGGGCUUUAAAUAAAGUUGCAAUGGAUCAUUCUAAGAGACCUUGACAAAUUGAAUGGAACAUGUAGGGGUUUUUAUAUGGUAGAUCAUAAAAGAAGUGAGCUAUUGAAUCGUGGUGGAUCAGGAAGAUGAUUUUUUAUAGCGAUAACAAGAAUGGACAUGGGAUAUAUCUAGAGGUAUUGAAAGAAGUAUGUCAUCGAAAUCGUCAUUGUAAGAGUAAUGAUUUUGACCCCAAAAAGUAAUGUGAGUUGAAAACUUCAAGAUACUUCAAAACUUUUAUCCAGAGUAGCAACAAAAACUAUAUAAGAAUUUUCUGAAAAUAUGAUAACAAAUUCAGAUAUAAGGAAGUAAUGAAAUACAUAGUAUAGGUUAGAAAUUUUCUAUGAGGACAUCGAACAUAAGAAUGGACCUUGAGAUGUAAAAUAAUGCAUGAUGGAUCUUCAAGACCACACAUAGAUCUUGAAGCAGAGUGAAGGUACCGUUGAAAGUACAAAUCUCACUAGAGGCAAAGCUUUGAGAUAGAUCAUGCAAAGGAAAAGUGCAUAUGUCACUAGAAACAAUGUUCUAAGACUUCACAGUUUCAAAUUAAAGAUGUCACUAAUGAUGCUUUGACAUGGAUCGGGAAGUAGAAUUAAGUAUAUAUCUUACAUCAACACUAGUAGCGAUCUUUCAAAUGGGUUAAUUGUAAAAUCUCCUAUUUUACAUCUCGCUAUAAUAGGUAGUUGGUGAAGGAUCAUGAAGUAGAACAUAAAAAUAGAUCUCACCAAAGUACCAAUAUCAAUUCUCUAGACAGAUAACGAGAUAGGCCUCGAAGUAAAGAUCUCUCUAUGAGCGAUGCUUCCAGCUAGAUUGCCGCGCUCAUAGGAGAAAAUGGGUAUCAACGUGGAUAGAUCCCGAGAUACUAAAAGAAGAAUGAUUUUGAAAAAAAAUAGUAAAGCAAGUUGGAACAAACCUCGAAAACUCUGGAUAAAUUUUAUCUGCAAUAGAGAUAAAUUAGAGAUAAGCGUUUUAAGAAAUAUAUCAUAAUAGAUCUAGAUAUAAGGAAUUAAGGAACUACAAUAUGACCUAUCAAUAUUUCGAGCACAUAAAACAUAGAAGUGGAUCUCAAGAUGAAAAAUAAUGCAAAAUUACCAUAAAUAAUGAUCCAUAGAUCCCCAAGUAAGAGGGGAAGGUAUCGCUCAAAGUAUAGAUAUCACGGUAGUGAUGCUUUCAGAAGAUCAUGGCGGAGAGUAAAGUACGGAUAUCACCAAAAACAAAGCUAUAAGACUUCCGGAGUCAAGAGUAAAUCUCUCGUGGGCGAUGCUUUGACAUGGAUCUUGAAGUAGGAUGAAGUGUAGAUCUUAUGUGAACACCAGUAGCGGUCUUCCAAAUAGAUCGAGAGGUAGAACUCAAAUUUUAUAUCUCACUACAAGCGAUAGUUUGAGAUGGAACAUGGAGUAGAACAAGAAAUUGAUCUUGUGGGGAAACUAGCAUCGAUACUACAAAUUGAAUGAAUAGGUAGGUGUGGAAGUAUAGAUCUCAAUGUGAGCGAUGCUCUGACGUGUGCCAUCAUGGUCGAAGAAGAAGCUGGAGAAUGCUUGAAGAUAGACCCAAAGAACCUGUAUUUUUUGGAAUGAAGGCUCGUGAAGAGCCCGACUUUGAAUUAAUACAAAGCCAUCAACCGGCCAUGAGUUACAUCAUACGACCCAGAGAAUGAUGACCAAACUGAUACAAAGGGGGACGCUGGGAAGAAACCAAAACUAUGGCCUACACAAGCUAACUUAAGAAAGGAAAAUGAAGAUUACAACUUGCUAGAGGCAGAGUACUCCACACUAGUAUCCUACAAAUGAAGGACAGAGCAGCAGGGCAUGACAAAGCUGGCUGUCAAAAAUGGACAUUGCUCUAGGAGCACCUAGGGAAGGAGGGCAAACAACACCUUCCUUCUCUAUCACCGAAGAGGGACCCAACCCCCUCGCCAUGGCUCGUAGGUGUCGUACCGUCGAGAUUCAGAGAAACUCACCCGAGAACUAGAAGGAUGUCACCCUCACAUCGAAUGGUGGACCUUGGGAGACCACCUCGAUUUGGGAUAAGCCAUGCCGGCAGCAUCACCACUAACCGCGCCCAACUAGUUGGAGAAGGAAUGCUUAAUGGAGUCGGACGCCAAAGAGGAGGCAGCAGGGAACCGAGCAAAAAUGCGAGAGGCAAGGCAGCAAAGCACCACCGUUAAGAAGACCCAGGUCUCUUCAGUUUACAUGAAGCCACAGCCGUUGGGAAGGGGAACCCUAUCCCCUACCGUCAGGAUCGAGAUGCCACAUCGCCAGGACCGAGAGGUAUCCACCACCACCAGAGAGCACCAACCAGAAGAGACGACGGUGCCUACAUUCCACACCGCAUCCACACAAGCUCGAGACACAAGCAACCUGAAUCCCGCGCCUGCACAUCCUCCCAUCCGAGCCCCUACACCCACAACGAUGACUUUAAGAAGGUCACGACGCGCGAGGCGCCACCGCCGCCAAAUCCAUAGGGGAUUGUGGGUUUUCACCCUGGCAGGAGGUCGGGGUCGAGAGUUGGGACCUCAGCAGCGCCCCCAUGGAAGAAAGCAGCGCCCUUGGGCGUCGCCCCCGCCGGGCCAGCCAAGUCGGACAGGGUUUCCCCUGGGCCCCAAGCUACUCCACCAUGCUCACCAACACCUAAGCCAACGAGCGAAUCGCAGUCCAUGGCAUAUAGAGCGAGAGAGGCAAUAGGGAGGCGGGAUCUCGUACCUUCAGAUCUGACGCAUAUGAGAUAUGCGCCGCGACAGAAACUCUACCAGCGGCACGCCACCCUCACGACCGAGCAUGCUGGCUAGCAGACCGCCUGCAAACGCCGACGGUCGCACGGCGCCGCCGCCAACCUAGGUACCAAUGGCCUCCGAGAGGGACAAAGCGCCGCAGUCCCCGCUGCCACCUUCACCGACGCCCGCGCUGGCUGUCCUGGCGGCCGUCUCUGGUGGCAGCGAGGAGGGAGGAGAGGAUUGGAGGGGCGGCGGCGGCGGCGGAACCCUAGUCGCCCCCGAGUCGCCCGGGAGGCGACGCGAGGGUCGGGAGGGGGGAUUCAAGAACUAGUACUUAAAGCACUCACCUACCGCACUUUGUUUGACUCGGGAAAACAAGAGUAGUUUGUGAGAGAUAUUUCUAACAUUCACUCUACAUGUGGGUCCUUAUAUAUGUGUAGUACUAGAGAUCGGUAAAGUAUAGUUGUAAAUAACAAAGAGGGAUUUAUAUAAGACAUGUUAACAUAUAUAGAAAAUAGCUGGCAUCAAGGCUAAAAGAAGCAUACAAUGCAUGAUUGUGAUCAGCUAGAGAAGGGGUACACUUUUGUGAACAUUGCCUUUUUAAGGACUCGCCGCUCCCCUCCAUAAUACAUAUGCCAUCUAUAUUCUGAUUUUACAUUGAUUACAGGCUUCACUGAUACAGUGGAAUAUAUAUUACUAGUGUAUUUUCUGUACCCUUUAUUCUCAUGGCAUAAUGUUUUCCCUUGUAGUUUUACUUAACCCACUCAUCAAACAAUUUCCUCAAGGUACCAAUUUCAAAUAAUUUUGUGACAUUGUUAGCUUAGAGUCCAUCGAUGAUUAUCUCACUGCCACCCACCCUCAACUAGAGAGCGACAAGAUGCGUUUGGCCACUUCUGCAUAUGUGUACAGGUAGCAUGCAUGACGCGGUGUGCUUGACAGUGUGUGUCCUACUGUCCAAGCAUGUGUGGCUUCGCAUGCAACACUAACAGUGUUUGUCAAGACCUGGUGUUUUUGGACAUGACCACUUCACUUGGUUGCAUCGCGACACGACUUGACAAGUGCAAUCCAGGAUAGUUCGGCUCUCUUUCCCUCCGUAGGUCGGUGUGCGUCCGUCUACCAUUUAUUUGGGUCGCGAGAAGUUAUUUGGGUCCAGUUCAUGACUCAGAAUAUGUACAAACAGAUCGACCGAUACCAUGCCUUGUGCCUCACCACACGCAUGCUUUGCGAGCUUGUUACUUUCGUGUAAUGUCACCAUCUCGGCCGGAUCAACGGAGACAUUACACCUGACCUGAGAGCUGACGCUUGCCUCGGCCCUGACAGAACAGAAGAGUCCUCCCUUGCGUGUUGCGUCAGUUUUUUUAAGAGGAUCAUCCCUGACCUCUGCAUCAAAAUGAUGCAUGUAGCCAUGCGUGUUGCGUCACAAUGAAUGCAAUCAUUGCUUUGUUCUCUUCAAGCCGAGUUUGGCGAGAUCUCGCUUCCAUGAAUCGGGUCACCGUCAACUUGGAGGCCAUCAUCGGGAGGCUUGGUACGACCUGGGUUGUGCAAGAGCAAAAACUGGCAAGACAACGCGUCGGCGGGGUGUGUGUGUUGCUGGGCGAAGCCGCGAAGCUCGUAGUUGUCGGGUGUGUCGUUCCUGUGUGGCUAAUUGUAGAAAAUCUUUAAAGCUAAAUGUAGAUGAGUAACAAAAAUAGAACUGUGACAGAGUGAUCGCCAACUGACAUGUGUGCCAUGACUGCAAAGGGUUGAUCCGAACGUGUAUGGCACGGAGAAUGUCAAAGCACAAGAGAACGUUUGCGCCAUCUAACAGGGAAACAUGCAAGUAGAAGGAAUUGUAAUGACGAAGAAGGGGUUCUGGAAGCGUCGACGGACGUCUAGGUGAAGACAUCGUGGCAAAGCUUCUAGACAUUCCGGAUCCGGGGCCCUGUACCCUGAGCUUCAGGGCCCUUCUGGCGGGCUACUUAUCUAUUCUUACACUGGACCUCCUGGCUCGCCUGUCUACGAGAGAAAGGGGAUCAAAGGCCCAUGUUUCUUUCCCUAUUUGUCUCUCUUAUCUAUCUUCCCUAGUGAGAGAUUUCAAUACUUGAAGACGGCUCCUCAUGGAGAACAAGGACAUGCACACUUUCAUGGUGAACACUCCAUUAGAGUAAGAGCAUCUACGGCCGGGUGCCUCAAACCGACCUCAAAUGCCCGGGCAGCCCGUACGGUCACUGGUCGGUCAUAAAAACGUGACCCAGGCGGGUGCCUCAAACGGGCCUCAAACACCAGGGCUGAUCGACAUCCCUCAUAUCUAGCCCAAAUAUGGGGCAGAUAUGGGUGCGCCCGGGUGCGUCCGCCACAUAGAACUAACGAUGAGGUCCCACACGGAAUCAUGCGGAAACCUGGCGGUCCGACGGACGCUACCUCCGUCGCCGCAGUGUGAACGCCGCGUGGCGCCGCUCUGGCUCGGCGCCCGAGGACAAAUCCGGCUAUUCAAGCCGGCUGGCUUCCCCCAAACCUAGCCCAUCCACCUUCUCCCUCUCUGCGCCGCCACCCGAGCCCGUCUGUCUCCUCUCCCCCGCUCUCCCACGCUCUCUGACAUCGUCAUGGUCCGGCGGAAGAUCCCCAUGUACGCUAUGCUCACGCCAGAGUGCUGGAGGCAGAUCGCGGAGGAGAUCCAGGCUAGGCGUGCCGCCCGCAUCGCUGUUGGGCUGCCUCCGGACUUGGGCUUGAAGAGGUAGUCUGGUAGAUCGAGCGUGGGAAGUAGGCUCUGAUACUACUUGUUAACAAUUUGAGCUUAUGUUCCUCUCAGUUGACCUCAACACACAUUGAUUUCAUAGAAGCCACUAGAGUUUGAGACUUGUUGGUGGAGAAGAACAGUAGAAAGGGGGAGGAUGGCCACCGCAACACAGUUUGUUAUCAAUCGAUGCCUUCCUCAAUGCGCUAGAUAUAUUAAUAGUUGGUUUAUAUUGCUUGGUGCAACCUCACCACCUUAUCCACAUCCAACCCAUAAGCAUUUUUAGUUUUUGUACCCUUGGUAAUGUACUUGCAGAGUCCAAACGACUCACAGAUACAUCAACAACCCCAAGUGCAGGUGCAGGUGUAGGUUCAGGUAAUUGAGGACAAAUGAUCAAAGUGUUGGACGGGUCCAAAAAGUGUAAUUGAGAACAAUGUAAUUGAGU
rnacentral:lncRNA from 1 species